ACAAGUGCUCUAGAAUGACUGCUUCAUAGGAGAGCUGUUACCUAGACGCAGGAGAGAAAUGAACAUAUGUAAAGCAAGGCAGAUGGUCCCAAGGAGAACUUAAUUGAGAUGAUUGGAGAAGCAGGAAUGAAGGAACAGGGGAAAGAAACUGAGAAGCAUGAAUGGGAGGAGGGGAUGGAGGCAGAAAUAUCCAGUGCUUCCCAGAGGCAAUGACGAUAUGAUAAUCCUUCAUAAAAGGCAGAAAAAUAGGGUGAUAAUCCCGCUUCCUUUUUCACUGAGAAAACAGAAGCAAUCAGAAUAGGCAUUGACAUACACCAGCUACCACAUCUACUGAUAUAUUGGUAAAGAUCAUCUGGGAAAUAUUUAAACAUUUUUUUUGAAACAAAGAGCAACAAAAGGACCUUGAGCUGUUAACUGCUAUGCACCUGUCUGCUCAUCUGUAAAAUGAGGAUCAACAAGAGGAGGAAAGAAUGAGAACCCUUGGUCAUGAACAGGAGAAUGUUUUUGACGAUUUGGAAACUGGGGAGUAUGAGACUUCCUCUUGGGAGAGUUGAAAUAGGGGUAACAUAAAGUGCCAUAUGAAGAACAUUCAGCCUAAGUGAGAAGAAACAAAUCCCGAUUUAUGUCAAUCAUUGGCAUAUAAUAUUAAGGCCAGUCUAGCAGCUACUUUUUACCCUUACAACAUGUCAUUGUGCCUUGAGCUUUUUCCAUCUCUUUAAGGCAGACUCCUUUCAUGUGCUAGCUGUACUUAAAAAGCAGCAGUGAACAGAAAGCAAAAUUAACCCAGUAUAUUACAAACCAAGAAAUGAUGACAAGAAGGUAACAGCUAUACUGCUGGAAGACUGGAAAGGCAUCUUCAGGUGUAGGUCCCAAGUGCCCUGUCAUUUACUUCCUGUCCAAGCACUGAGCAGAUGGAAUUACACAAGUUCGGCUGUAUGAAACCACCCUCUAAUGCCUUCGUUAAACUCCAGGAUUUUAGAGUCUGUCCAGUUUCUGGCAGGGACCUUUCCAAACUUCCACCCCCAAAGCUGUAAAUUACU
rnacentral:lncRNA from 10 species